GGACCGCCGGGUCCUAGGGAAGCACGGCGGGUGGCAGUCCCCGCUCGCUUCCUGUCCUGAGGGCGGGGGCGGAAUGGGAGGCUCCAGCUGUGUGUUUAGGCAGAUAUGAGUGGAGCACCUGUUAUGAUGAGCCCAGCAGCACAAGGGUAACCAGAAGAGUUCCCAUCCAGAAGUUACUGGCCUCGACCUCAAGUCCAAGCCCAGACUCCAGGCGCGUCCUGCCGCUCCGCCCCGCCCCCUCCCCUUUCCUGGGCGCGCAGCCUCAGGUCAGUGGUCA
ensembl:lncRNA